ensembl:lncRNA
GUAAGAGAAUUGCCACAUGCAAAUGAAUUAAGUAGCAACUAGGCGUUGAACAAUGAUCUCAGUAAAAGUUUUGGAAGCCUUUGUACAUCAGACGAAAGAUGAGCUCAUGAAGGGAAGAAUCUGGGUUACACGGGGUCUGCUUACUUGGGAAUUCCUUGGGUACUGCAGACCUGUGCUAUCUCCCACUGACUUUAGCUGUGGUCAUGGAAAAUAACCAAAUGUUUGUGGGUCCAUAUUGCCUCAGUGUCCUGCUUAAAGCAUGGGGAGAAAAAAACAGAUCAAGCAGCCUGGAGGAAGGGAGAAGGUCAACAAAUUAAAUCACCCCUAGGACUUCGAAAGCUGGGUCAACAAAGCCCUGAAACUCCAAGUUUCUGAACUUGUAUGUUUGCCAUCCACAAUAUAAAGAGAUGUUUUGGGUUUUUUUGAGGAAGAUUAGCCCUGAGCUAACACCUGCUGCCAAUCCUCCUCCUUUUGCUGAGGAAGACUGGCCCUGAGCUAACAUCUGUGCCCACCUUCCUCUACUUUAUAUGUGGGACACCUACCACAGCAUGGCUUGACAAGCGGUGCCAUGUCCGCACCCAGGAUCUGAACCAGCUAACCCUGGGCCACCGAAGUGGAACGUGCGCAUUUAACCGCUGAGUCACUGGGCCAGCCCCUAAAGAGAUUUUUCUCUUUUAAUUUCCAACAUCUGUGGCUUUCUAUUAGUUCAAGCUUCUGCAGGGAGCAUGCGUUCAUUAAAUGGUAAAUAUGAACCUAAAUACAGAAACACAAAUGCUUAAACCAUUAGGAGGCACCUUCUUAACAGUGAUGAAUGAGGCAGAAAAAAGGGAGGAGGUUCCACUUUGGGGCUGCAUGAUACACUUUUGCUUUGAACAAUCUCAGGCAUCUCCAGCAAUGACUUGGGAGGAAAAGUCUGACUUCAUCAUCACACGUUCAUUGAGUUAAAGUUUCCAGCCACUAUGCUACCUGCUUAGGCUCAAGAAGAUAAAAGAGAAAUGUUUCUGGGAGAUGGGGAAGGCGGGUGGGGGAGAUCAACAUGGAGACAACUGAUUAUAACACAAUGUCAUGACAAGUGGGCCCUGAGGCCAGCUCUGGGUCAUAUGCUGUCUUCUGCUGAUAUUUCUACUGCUUUCACCUGGAUAUGCAGCAGAUAGAGAGUUGCAAGGGCAGUUGCCAUGCCUAAGGCUAAUUUUACUGCUAGAAAAAGAUCCAUCAGAAGAGAUCUCUGAGAAGAUGCAUAAAGAAAUUUUCCAGUUGGCCAUUAUCUGCCUGUGGGUCCAGAGUUUGACCAUCCUUUCCAAAGUGAGAUUGGUGGAUUUGAAAAGGUAGAGGGAUGUGAUCUUGAAGAGCAUAACCCAGAGUGGGAUGUUACAUGUAGAACCAGAUCUCAUCAAAACAGUGAAAUAGAUAUUUUGCUGCCAGCAUCCUACCUCUGCUCCUGCGUUUCUUUCCUUCUUCCUGCUUGCUCCCUCCUCCAACCCCUGGUUUAGUAUCUGUCCAACCAAAUCCUUUAAGCCCAUAGGUGUCAACCAAUAGAUUUUUCACCCUUUUUCAAGGAGGUUGAAUUUGUGCAUUCUUUAAAGAUCAAACCAUCUUCCAGACCCACAACAGUGGUGUCCCCUGAAACCCCUCAAAUCCAUGUCAACAGACACCUACUCCAUCUAUCCCAGAUUUGUGUACACGACAUUCUGAAGGCAUAAGGAAGAAGACCUCUAUAACUAGAUAAAGGGGCUAAAAGAGAUGACCGACCUCAAAAUUUCAACACUGAGUUCUUGAGAAAUAGACUCUAAUAGGCCACUAAUAGACUGGGGGCAAGAGAGAUAAUGAAUUUUUACUAAAUGUAGGGUUAUUUUAACAAAAUUCUUUAACAAUAUUAUAAUUUAUUUUAGGUCUAAUCUCAUAUUUCUAUCGCAUACUUUUUAGUCUUUUCUUGUUAGGAUAUUUAUAAAUUCCCAGAAAAUUAUCAUACCUCCUCUUUUUCCCUUGAAUUUCAUGCCAUUCAAAUGCCCACCAAUUACCCCCAGUUGGUUCAAAUGCCUUGAAUUACAAGAGAACAGAACUGGCAAGAAACAAACACCCCAAUAUUUGAAAGCAGAGGGUGAAUGGUUUUUUUUAACAAUGGUAAUUAGAAUUUGGUUUUCCUCAUGGAUCGUGUAGUUUAACCAAUUACAUUGAACUAUUAAUUUGAGAGGGGGAGAAGGAGGAAGAAACACUACUCUCUCAUUACUUUCCUAAUAUCUGUCCUCUUCACAAGGGUUUGUUUGGCACACACAGAUGGUCCUGGUGGCAGUGCGAAACU